AAUUUUAAUAAAAUUGAAAAGCACGUACUGGUCGACAUGCAUGUAUAUAUUGUAUAUUCUAAUAAUACUGAUGUAUGACAGGAAAUAAAGUUGGAAGUCACUGAUUUGAAAAGUGAAUUGAAAAGUGAAAGAGAAGAAAGAAUCAAGUUGGAGAAGGCAAACGUAGAAUUGCGUGAAAUCUCCGACGACCUCCAGACAAAUAACGUGCUUCUCAACCAAAGCUCAGUAAGUUUGACGACAAAAGUUGCUCAACUUGAAAACGAUUUAGCAGACAUUAGGAGCACAAUAGCAAACGAUGCUACAUGUUCCAAUAGCACAAAAGG